ensembl:lncRNA
AUGAGCGUGUCCUUUUCCCUGGUUUGUUUUCCUCCUUUGUUUUGCAAGGUUGGUCUUAGGAAACCCGUCUUACAAAUGAGAGAAGGGAGUCUCAGUUUACAUCUGAGUUUCUUAAACUUGAACGUGAAUCAGAAUCUCCUGGAUGGCUUCAUAGAACACAGAUUGCUGAGUCUCACCUCCAGACUUUCUGAUUUAGUAUCUGGAGUUGUUGUUUAGUCACUAAGUUGUGUCAUACUUUUGAGACCCCCGUGAGCUCUAAGCCUCCAGGCUCCUCUGUCCAUGGGAUUCUCCAGGCAAGAAAACUGGAGUGNNNNNNNNNNNNNNNNNNNNNNNNNNNNUCCCAACCCAGGGAUUGAACUUGCAUCUCUUGCAUUGGCAGGCAGAUUCUCUACCACUGAGCCUCCUGGGAGGGCCAGUUCUGGAUUAGGGCCUGAUAGUUUGAAUAUCUAACAGGUUCCCAGAUCAUGAUAACCUCCUUGAUCUGGGACCCCUCUGUGGGAACCACUGAUUUAAGUAUUGACUUGAAGUCUCAUAGUAAGCUGAAGACCUUGUUAUGCGCAAGCAUCUCCCAACAUGACUCAUGCCAAGCUAUUACACUAUAUUCUGCCUCUAUAUUAAGUUGAAAAAAAUGAAGCAGUUCAGUUCAUUUGACUGGAAUUUGUCCUUGCUCAUGACUGCAGAAAACAUAUUAAUUCUAAGCUUGCUGUUCAGGGUUCUCAAGAAAUAGGAAGAAUACAUUAUUUUGACUCAAUUAUAAUUUAUUAUAUUUCAAAUUAAAAAUUAAAAUAACAUAAGGGUCAAGACCAAACAGUAGUGCUUAGUAUGGUUGGGGCACAGUGUAUAUAUAGUUUUUCCCAGUGAAAAAAUUUUGUAGUGCUUAUCUUUACAAGCUCUUUGAGAGUUGACUGUAGAAAGUUACUGCUGGGUCUGUUUUUAAACGAAAAUGAAGGAAAACUGGAAUCAAAAGCAUCUAUAAAUGAAUUGUGUGGUAAUGAAUAUAGUAUUAUUUACCAUCUGAGCCACCAGAGUAUUAUAUUAAGAAUAGUUGAGCCUUAGGAAUUCAGCAUUUGUGUGCAGUAUACAAGUCAGUAAUAAUCUGUUAACAUCAGUAGACAUAUAACACCAUCCAGAAGAAGAAUUUGGUAGUUAUUACAAUUGCAGCAUGAUUAAAUGUAGAGAUACUUUUCUUUAAGACACACUGCACCCUGUUCGUUUUCAGUUUGCCAUGAGUCAGUACAUUUCACAAAUAGUAACCUGUGUAAGUACUGUUUGUUAAGGCAGUGCCUGUAGUUGUUUCCAUAGGAAGAUAAAAAUCCCCAAGCUAUUGGGCUUAAAGUCUGACAGUGAUCACUUGCAAUGAUAAUACUCUGAUGGUUUUGGGGAAGGUUGAAAUAUAUUAUUAUCAAUACUACUGUGACUUUAAGAGAAGUAGUGAGUUUUUUUAAUAUUUUUAAAUUUUUUAACUUUUAAUUUUAUAUGGGAGUAUAUUUGUUUAACAAUGUUGUGUUUCUUUCAGGUGUACAGCAAAGUGAUUCAGUGAUAUACAUAUACAUGCAUCUAUUCUUUUUCAAUUUCUUUUCCCAUUUAGGUUGUUACAUAAUACCCAGCAGAAAUCCCUGUGCUAUACAAUAGGUCCUUGUUGGUUAUUCAUUUUAAAUGUAACAGUGUGUGCAUGUCAACACCAAACUCUCUAACUGUCCCUCUUCCCCUCCUUUCCCCUUUGGUAUCCAUAAGUUUGUUUUCUUAAUUCUGUGAAUCUGUGAGAAGUAAUGUUUCAAACAACACUGAAAGACUUCCAGGGAAGGAAAGAGCAAUUUGGAUACCUUGAAAGAAAACUAGACAUACUUCCCUGUGUCUACAGGAAAUGCAGAUUAUAUUCGUGUUUCCAGCUUAUCUGACAUUCCAUUUUCUCAUUGUAUCCCUGUUAAUUUUAGAUUCCAGUGAUUUUAUUUUCUUGUGAUCCAGUAAUGUUUACAGGCUUUUACUGGACAUUCCCACAUACUGGCCACAGACUUGUACUGGGCUGUAACAAAGUUUUCUCUGGUCCAGAAUGAAAUGUCUGUUUUCAUUUUAGUGAGAAUGCUUUUUUUAUGUACCUGAAACUAUGGUGAUGAUAGGUAGUAAUUGUUUUUUAUAUAUUCCAUUGGGGUAGGAAGUUAAUGAGUUAUUUUUUACUAUGAGGCUGAUAUUUGUUAGGUUCUUUUUUUUGCCACUCACUAUUAUAAGCACUGUACUUUUUAACUCUGAGUUUUCACACAAUCCUACGAAGAAAGUGCUGUGAUCAGUUCAAUUUACAAUGAGGAAACUGGAUCUCAGUGAACUUGAGUAUUGUAUCUAAGGUUAUUGAUCUAGAAAGUCCUAGAACUGGUAUUAAAGCCCAGGCAGUUCAAUAGUGUCUAUUCCUAUUUUAUUUGGAGUUAGGAAUUAAUUUGACGUGUUCAUGAAAUGAUUAAACUUGGGAGUAACCAUAUAGUGUGGCAUUUAACUAGAGCUGACCCUUGUUUAACUAGGGGUUGAAGGGUGCUGAUCCUUUAUAGAGUUGAAAAUGCGCAUAUAACUUACAGUUGGCCCCCCAUGUACAUGAGGUUUUGCACCCACAAAGUCAACGAACCUCCAGUACUGUACUAUUUCCUACUGAAAAAGAAAGAAUCCUCAAGGUCAAACGUGUGUUGUUCAAGGGUCAACAGUAUGUUGUACUGAAUUUUUCGUUGUUGUUCCAGGCUAUUAUCCUAUUAAAUGUUAACAUCUGAGACAAUGGAUUUUAUGUUAUGGUUCUGUGAAUAUUCCUCUGUUUCACACUGAUUUUAAUGUAAAUACAGUGCUGAUUUGCACAUAGUGAAUUGUGUGUGUAUAAUGGAAAUGCACAGGAACCUUUUAAGCAGAGUAUAUGUGUAUUUAUGCAUAUGUUUCUGUGUUGUCAGUAACAUCAUUUAAAUAGCAGUUUACUCUGUUCUUUUCUCCUGGCUGAAGUGGAAGAUUUUUGCUAAAUGAGAUACCGGAUAAAUA